AUUACAGGACCAAUAUGAUAAUAUAUCAUCCCACACUUGUAAAGGUAUUGAAGUUUGUGAAAAAUACACACAUUUUUUGAAGGAAAGGUGUGCAAUUGAAUUAGAAUAUGCUGGAAAACUCAAGAAAUUUAUGAAAGAUUGAAAUAAUCACAUAUAAAACAUAAAUGUGCUUUUGUUUGUUGGCACACUUGAUGGCGGAAGACUAAUACAACAGAUGGUGAAAAAGUGAGUGGUAUUUGGAGAUAUUAAAUGAGGUAAGGGAAAGUGAAAGAAUUCUAUAGUGGCUGGAGUUGAAACUGUAAAUUUUGCUGUAAUUUUCCCUUAACACUAUAGUUUAUAUUGAAAAGGCGAAAAACAAAAAA